AUGAUCCCACCUGAUGCGGACGUGGUGCUAAACAUUCCGCUAAGUUCAAUCAACUUGCCGGAUACCUGGGCAUGGCACUAUGAGCACUCUGGACGAUUUUCUGUCCGCUCAGCCUACCGGCUACUAGUGGAGACGAAGCGACAAAGAGAGGACUGGCUCGAGCACCGACCGGGGCCGUCCGACCUUGAAAGAACUCGCCGGCAAUGGUCUGAUUUAUGGGGCAUCAAGGUUCCUUCUAAAGUUAAAAAUUUUGCUUGGCGACUUGCUCAUGUGUCCCUCCCGACGGGUGAUGUAAGGCUAUCUCGGAACAUGGCGCAGGAGGCGACUUGUUCUGUUUGCAAUGCAGCUGAAGAUUCGUGUAACAUGGCGAAAGCAGUAUGGUCGCUGAUGGAUGAUGAUGUUGUGAAUCUUGUUCAGUCACAUGAUCAGGAAGAUCCUAAGUUGUGGUUGUUCAAUCUACUCGAAGUAGCAUCACAUGCGGAAGUUGUGAAGGUCCUGAUAACACUAUGGUCCAUUUGGUGGGCUCGCCGAAAAGUGAUUCAUGAGCAACAAUUUCAGAGUCCGCUAUCGACGUUCUCCUUUAUCCAGCGUUUUCUGUCAGAGCUUGAAGGGCUACCAGUCAAGAAGUCUAACCAGCCCAGCCAACCUCGUAGGCCUGCCCGUGGCGGUUGGCAAGCUCCUGCUGUGGGAAGUGCCAAAAUUUAUGUUGACGGAGGUAUAGACAGAUGAGAACGGAAGGGAGCUGUAAGUGCAAUUUGCCGUAAUGUGACGGGUACCUUCCUCGGUGCAUCCUCAAUUGUUUUUGAAGGUCUUACACAUCCAUCGACACUUGAAGCCAUUGCAUGCAGUGAGGCAAUGUCGCUAGCUCUUGAUCUAAACCUCUCACAAAUACAAAUUGCCACGGAUUGUCUACAAGUGGUUCGCAACAUCAAGGAGGAUAACUCAUGCAGCUAUGCCGUAAUCAUCAAGGAGAUUCUCGCAAAAAAGGCGUUGUUCCAGGAGGUGUCCAUUAGUCAUGAAAAUCGAGCAUGCAAUUUUGAAGCACAUAGUCUAGUGAAAGCUGCUACUUCUCUCGAGAGUGGGCAUCAUGUUUGGCUCACCUCACCCCCACCUAUAGCUUGUAUCCCUACAAACAUUGUUUAA
rnacentral:rRNA from 1 species